GAGGGGGUAGAGCACUGAUUGGGCUAGGGGGGCGACCUCCAACCCCAGUCAAACUCCGAAUACCUCUACUCAAAGUGCAGGAGACAGACUGCGAGCGAUAAGGUCCGUAGUCGAGAGGGAAACAGCCCAGACCACCAGCUAAGGGCCCAGAGAGAUAGCUAAGUGUUAAAGGAAGUGGAGAGUCAAAGACAGCUAGGAUGUUGGCUUAGAAGCAGCCAUCAUUAAAAGAGUGCGUAACAGCUCACUAGUCGAGACUCACCGCGCCGAAGAUGUAAGGGGGCUAAAGCUAUCCUCCGAAGCUGUGGAACAGGAAACUGUUGGUAGAGGAGCAUUGUGUUGUAGGGAGAAGGCAGACCCGUGAGGGCUGUUGGACGAGACACAAGAGAGAAUGCAGGCAUGAGUAAACGAAAGGAGAGUGAGAAUCUCUCCCCCCGAAAGCCUAAGGGUACCUGGGGAAGGUUCGUCCGCCCAGGGUUAGUCGAGACCCUAAGGGGAACCCGAAAGGGGUAACCGAUGGGAAACCGGUUAAUAUUCCGGUACUGGCGUAGCAUGAGUUUUGGGGUGUGACACAGGAGGAUAGGCGUUGCGUACUAGUUGCAUAGUGCGUCCAAGUUUCAAGUCCGAAGAUCGCGGCAGGGAAAUCCACCGCGGGAGGGUGAGGGACGAAUGGGAGUUCCUUCGGGAGCAACAACGUUGAGUUCACACUGUCUAGAAAAGCAUCGCAAAGCGUUUGAGUGCUAAGCCAAUCGUUCUGAAAACCGACACAGGUAGGCAAGCUGAGAAGGCUAAGGGGAGCGGGAUAACUCCUGUUAAGGAACUAGGCAAAUUAGCCCCGUAACUUAGGGAGAAGGGGUACUCUGGUUGGUUAAGAGCUGACUGGAGUCGCAGUGACAAGGCAGCGGCGACUGUUUACCAAAAACACAGGGCUCUGCGAAUUCGAGAAGAAGACGUAUAGGGUCUGACGCCUGCCCAGUGCUGGAAGGUUAAGGGGAAAGGUUAGCGUAAGCGAAGCUUUGAACUGAAGCCCCAGUAAACGGCGGCCGUAACUAUAACGGUCCUAAGGUAGCGAAAUUCCUUGUCGGGUAAGUUCCGACCUGCACGAAUGGCGUAACGAUCGCUGCACUGUCUCAACAGGAGACCCGGUGAAAUUUCAGUCUGGGUGAAGAUGCCCAGGACUCGCAACUAGACGGAAAGACCCCAUGGAGCUUUACUGUAGCUUGGUAUUGUGCUUUGUUGUAUGGUGUACAGGAUAGGUAGGAGGCGUAGAACCCGGUUCGCCAGGAUCGGGGGAGCCAACGGUGGGAUACUACCCUCUAUACAACGGAGUACUAACUUGAGAGUGUGGAGAGCACAACAAGGACAUUGCUAAGUGGGCAGUUUGACUGGGGCGGUCGCCUCCAAAAGAGUAACGGAGGCGCGCUAAGGUUGGCUCAGGUUGGUUGGAAAUCAACCAUAGAGUGUAAGGGCAAAAGCCAGCUUGACUGUGAGACUGACAGGUCGAACAGGAGGGAAACCUGGCCCUAGUGACCCUGCGGCCCUGAGUGGAAAGGCCGUUGAUCAACGGAUAAAAGCUACCCUGGGGAUAACAGGCUUAUACUGCCCGAGAGUUCAUAUCGACGGCAGUGUUUGGCACCUCGAUGUCGGCUCAUCGCAUCCUGGGGCUGGAGCAGGUCCCAAGGGUUAGGCUGUUCGCCUAUUAAAGCGGUACGUGAGCUGGGUUCAGAACGUCGUGAGACAGUUCGGUCCCUAUCUGUUGCGAGCGUAGGAGACUUGAGAAGGGUAGCCCCUAGUACGAGAGGACCGGGGUUAGUGAACCUCUAGUGAAUCAGUUGUCGUGCAAGCGGCAGUAGCUGAGUAGCUACGUUCAUGAGUGAUAACCGCUGACAGCAUCUAAGCGGGAAGCACGCUUCAAGACUAGGUCUCUCAGGAUCGUUCGAGAAGAGGACGUAGAUAGGCUGGAGAUGUAAGCACUGUGAAGUGUUCAGUCGACCAGUACUAAUAAUCCGAUUCCUUUACCUUA
rnacentral:rRNA from 1 species